UCUUCAUUUUUUUAAAAUCUUUUAACUUCCUUUACCUUUCUGAAUAUGCAUAGUUUACUGUAACACAGGUAUUUCCAUUGCAACGCUUAUGCCCCAAUAAAUAUCUUUUUCUUUUAUAGUGCUUCUCUGUUAUUCACAUUGACACAUAUGGUGUCAGAAAUGGGGACUGGAAAGGAGCAAUCCUGGGAGGAACUUGUGAUUUUUGGAACCCGUGUGCAGUAGUCACUGGGGUUCUUUGCGUUCUCCCCUUCCGUGGCCUGCCUUUUCUGACCUGAUUUAAGAAAACUUUCUCACAUAUGCUAAUCUACAGUUUACAACAAUUUGAAGUACAACUACUAACAAAAUUAUGAUGGCCCAAAAUAGUUGAUGACAAACGACUAUGAAACAGACAAAAAUUAACUUAAUAAUGGAAUCCAGGCACCAGUUACUCCUCCCAAAUGUGAGAUGAGACCAGCAACCAGGACAGCACCAUUUCAGGACCAAGGGACAUCAAAACCUAACUACAAGAUGAUUGAUCAGUGAAACUUUCAAAGAAAGAUUUUAAUCAAAGGGGGAAAUGUGAAAGUUGUCAGAAUCAAAAGGGGAUCACUAAUGUUACAACAACCCAGACAAACAGCUGAGAAAUGGCAUGAAGAGAGGGUUCUCGUGCUUGUAUGAUUGAUAACAAAAAGUAUCGCAAAAGACUCUGC